CUUUUACCACCCGGCGUCACACAGAUCUUUAGCUCCUCUGCGGCAAUACGGCGCUAUUACACACAUUAUUUAUCACAUUUUACAAAAUCCAAGACAAAUACUCCUGAAUAUAGUGUUUCUAUAUCUAUUACAAAGUAGCGUACUUCUUCAUAACGAUAGAGACUCUUCUUGGAGCCUGAAAAGCCAACAGGACAAUGGCAGAUCAGCUGACUGAGGAGCAGAUUGCUGAGUUCAAGGAGGCCUUUUCACUCUUCGACAAAGAUGGUGAUGGCACUAUUACCACAAAAGAGUUGGGGACAGUCAUGCGCUCUCUUGGACAGAACCCCACUGAAGCUGAGCUGCAAGACAUGAUCAAUGAGGUGGAUGCUGAUGGUAACGGGACUAUUGAUUUCCCUGAGUUUCUGACCAUGAUGGCAAGGAAGAUGAAAGACACAGACAGUGAGGAGGAAAUCAGAGAAGCUUUCCGAGUUUUUGACAAGGAUGGAAAUGGUUACAUCAGUGCUGCAGAGUUACGGCAUGUCAUGACCAACCUUGGAGAGAAGCUGACUGACGAAGAGGUGGAUGAAAUGAUCCGUGAGGCUGACAUCGAUGGGGAUGGUCAGGUCAAUUAUGAAGGAGCCAUUCGUGGGUUUUCUAUUGGUUUCCUCAUGUAACUAAUGUACACGCGCUUUAACUCUGUGCACUACACUGCGGUGUCUGGGGGUGGCACGGUGGGUGUGGUGUGGCCUAUAUAUGAGCGCGCUCACCUGUUGAGUGUAAGGCCUUGGAUCAUGGUGGCGGGGUGAGCACGGGGAGCAACUUUCUGUUGACCGUAUUUUAACAGGAAAGAUUUGCACAUAGAAGGAAUCUGUGCAUGGCUACGCACGGAAGCAGCUUUAAAGUAAGUGCUCUAACGCGUAUGCCUACCAUUACGAACAAGUACCGUGUAUAUGUGCAUUUGUUCCGAGUUACGCGUCUACAGUGUUUUACCCCGUGUCUUAGCCCGCCGCGGCGUGUGGGAUAAGCAUUGGGCUACAUACGCCGCAAUAUUUUGUCAACAGAAAGGUUGUUGAAGCGUGGAUUUCAUCGUAUUGUCGUGCAACUAUCUGGAUGUUUUGGAUCGCUUUCGGAGUUGUGAACGAUAGACGUGAACGCGCAUGAAUUUCUCGUGAGCCCAUUCAUUCACAAAUUUGCUGUGCUACACAACGUCACAGCCACUUUGAUUAAAGGUACUGCAUGUUGUUGUAAAUAUUUUGGAUUGAAUGUUAAUCAUAUUCCCCGGCUAGGCUUUAGUGGUGCUUUCACAUAAGGUGAAGCACUUUCACGUUGUUCUGGGACCCGCUUAGGGCUUCGCUUGUGCGUCAAGCGGGUGAAGCAUUGCGCUUGGGAGUGCCGGUAGUUCUGGUUCUGAGACUGUUUGUCUGGUUCCAGUCUAUCGGUAUAUCCGAGGUACAACAACCCACCGCUAGUACGUGCAGAAGACUAGGGUUGAGUUAGCUUAGCUCCGGUGGAUAGUUAGGGGGAAUAAUUUCUUUCAGGAACUUGUACCGUUUUAAUAAAAUUUAUAAAAUUAUAAUAAAAAAAUAAAAUAAAUGGAAAUAAGACAAUAAAAUUAAAGCGCUGUGUUGUGUGUAAGUGCAGACUUUUGUGAUUAUUGUGAUUUUGUGAAUGAAAAUGGAGACUGAUUCCAGGUCAAAUGUUGGAAAUGAAACAAUCAAAACUCACUCCCAAAGCCUUGGAACAUAAAGUGGAAAAGCUUCAAGAUGAAAGAAAAGCAAAAGUGAAAAGGAUUAAAAGUUCAAUAAGAGACAUUACAGAGUUGAAGAAAAAUCCUGCAAAUGUUGAAAAGGUAAGAUUAUGUCUUGAGAUUGUGUCCAGUUUGUACAGUGAGGCCUGUCGGCUGCACGAUCUAGUUGUUCCCAUGCUCCCUCCUGAUGAACAAAAGAAGCAAAACCAAUGGUUUGAUAGUGUGGAGGAGCAUAAAAGUACCUUUGUGGAGGAGACAAAUAAAUGGAUCCUGGAGGUGCCAGCUAUUUCGGAUGUCACACAUAGACUGGAAGAGGGCGCCAUUGAACCAUCUUGUGCUCCAUCUGUAGAUCCUCCUCUGUCCAGUGGCAGUGGUGUAGGUGCACGAAGGGAUUUGCAAAAUGCGGCUGAGGAAAUCGGGCCGAGUGACAGUGUCUCUAAUGCAUCCAAUCAAUCAAAGAAGCGCAGCACACUGGUGAGUAAGUCCAAUAUGUCCUCCACGUCCUCUGCCAGACUGAAGGCUGAGGCUGAGACUGCCGCUCUUAUGGCUCGGCAGAGGCUUCUGAGGGAGAAGCAUGCUCUGGAGGAGCAGCAGGAGCAGCUGCGCAGGAAAAUGGAGGAGCAGCAGGAGCUGUUGCGGAGGAAGAAAGAGGAGCUUGAUCUGGACAUGGAGCUGGCUGCCUCUAUGGCCAGAAUAAGUGUAUUUAAGGCCUCAGAAGGAUCUCACAUUUCUGUUACAUCGGAUGGGAUGAAUUCCUAUUUGAAGAGAACCAAGACUGUUCAGUUAAAUGUAGAUGCUGCUACAUUUGUGCCUGCAUUUACCACCCAGUCAUCACAGACGGAGCCCGCGGGGUGCUCUGCUUUCAGGUUCUGCUGCUACAAAGCCUAAGGUGAGUUACCAGGUUGAGCUCCAAACUGCUGUUAGUGGGGCCGGUCUGUCAGUGCUACCCAGCAGUGAAGUAUAUCGAGAUGUUCCAUUCACCCAGCUUGAUCCACCCACACUUACAACAGAGAACACAUCUGAUCAGCGUUUACUUACGGUUCUAGAGAAAGAAAAUGAGAUCACAUCCUUGUUGGUUGAACAACAGUCGCUCUUUCUCUUGCCCAAGAGGGACUUGCAUACCUUCGACGGAGAUCCUUUACAAUAUCAGACCUUCAUUAGCGCUUUUGAGCAUAAUAUCGAAGCCAAAACUCAAAACCACAAAGACCGUCUAUAUUAUCUUGAACAGUAUACUCGAGGUCAGCCCAGGGAUUUGGUCUGAAGCUAUCAACACCUGCCUCCUGCUUGUGGCUACAUCCAAGCUAAGAGUCUGCUUCAAGAACAUUUUGGUGACCCUUUCAAAGUUGCAUUGGCAUACAUGGGAAGGGUGCUUGCCUGGCCUGUGGUGAAAGGUGAGGACGUAAAGGCGCUUCAGGCCUUCAGUUUCUUGCUCAAUGAGUGCUGCAAUUCAAUGGGAGAGUGUAUGGGUGACCUGAAUGUUCCUACUAACAUGCAAACAAUUAUCAAGAAGUUACCGUAUAAGCUCAGGGACCGUUGGAGAAAUGUGGCCUGUGAUAUUCAGGAAAAGUUUUGUCGUAGAGCCACAUUCAAUGAUAUUGUAAAUUUUGUCGAGAGACAAGUGAAGAUCGCAAGUGACCCUCUGUUUGGGGACAUACAGGACUCCCCAGGGACAGUAAAAGGGGACUUCAAACCUGUGACUCCUCGGACCAGUCUAAAACCCAAAGGUAGUAGUUUUGCCACUACAGUAAUGCCGACAGAAAGAGAUGACUCUCUGAAUAAAGGAGAGAACCUACCUGUAAAAAUUUGCUUAUUUUGUGGAGCUGGUCAUGCUUUGGAUGUUUGCCUUCUGUUGGAUAAGAAGACUCAAGAUGAAAAGAUGUCUCUUGUGAAGGAAAACAAAUUGUGCUUUGGUUGUUUGUGCAUUGGGCACAGAAGUCGAGAUUGCAGGAAGCGUCUGACAUGUAGAGUGUGCAAUUGUAACCACCCCACAUUGUUGCAUGUUCAGUCCAGAUCUAGACAAGGUAGUUUGUCACAGGCAAGUAGCUGUUCAGAGGAGGCCAGAGAAGGCGCUGUGGUGUCUGUUCAAUCUAGUGGGUUAACUGGGGCUGGAAAACAGGACUGUACCUUGUCAAUCCUGCCUGUACAGGUGAAGUCCAAAAGAGGGCAUGAGACUUUGCUGACAUAUGCGUUUUUAGAUCCAGGGAGCACUGCUUCAUUUUGCACGGAGCGGCUCAUGAACAGACUCAACCUCAGUGGGAAGAAGUUGGGAAUUCUCCUCCGGACAAUGGGACAGGAGAAGGUGGUAGACAGUUACACGCUAACCGACCUGGAAGUAGCUGGACUUGGCUCUGACCGUUUUUGUGACUUGCCAGAAAUCUUCACUCAACAGAGCAUGCCUGUUCACAGGGGAAACAUUCCAUAUACGAAGGACCUUUGACGAUGGCCACACUUAAAUCACAUAAACAUCCCGGAGAUCAAGGCAGAAGUGGAUCUUCUGAUUGGGACCAAUGUACCUCAGGCACUGGAGCCGUGGGAGGUUGUGCGAGCAGAGGGUGGAGGUCCUUAUGCCAUUAAAACCAUCCUUGGUUAGACCGUGAAUGGCCCGCUAAGAGGAGUAUGUCAUGCCAGUGGGGAGGAUCUCGGUGGCAAAGUUGGAUGAACUUUGGGAAAAACAGCUAAAGGUUGACUUCCCUGAAACAAAACAGGAAGAACAACUUGGCCUAUCUAAAGAAGAUGAACAAAUUUAUGGAGUCUGUCUCUGAGUCAGUCAGGUUGGUGAAUGGCCAUUAUUGCAUUGCUUUGCCCAUGAGAGAAAAAGCCCUCAACAUGCUGAACAAUAAAACCGUUGCAGAACAGUGUGCGCAGAGUCUUGAAAAAUGUUUGACCAAAGAUUUGUCUCUUUGUCGUGAUUAUGUUACAUUCAUGUCAGGGAUGCUUGCCAAUGGUUACGCUGAGCGAGUUCCAUCUGACCAGUUGGCUCGUCAUGAUAUGAGGGUGUGGUACAUACCUCACCAUGGUGUGUACUACCCUCAAAACAAAAAGCUGCGGGUAGUCUUUGACUGCGGAGCCACUUUUCAAGGCACCUGUUUGAACUCCCAACUGCUUCAGCGUCCUGACCUUACUAGUCUGUUGGUUAAUGUUCUCACCAGAUUUCAUAAGGAACCUGUUGUGCUUAUGGCUGAUGUUGAGGCCAUGUUUCACCAGGUCCGGGUACCAGCUGAAGACUGUGAUUUGUUGAGAUUCCUGUGGUGGCCUGACAGAGACUGCAGUCAGGAGCUCGCGGAGUACCGAAUGGUAGCACAUGUGUUUGGUGCUACGUCCUCUCCUAGCUGUGCCUCUUUUGCUCUUCGGAGGUGUGCUGAGGAUAAUCAUGACCAUUUCAGUCCUGCGGCUGUCAAUACUCUGUUGCACCAUUUUUAUGUUGAUGAUUGCUUGGUGUCUGUUGCCUCUGAAGCGGAAGCAAUGUCUUUAUGUCAAGAACUUGGAGCUUUGUGUGCCAAAGGUGGGUUUAAGCUUACGAAAUGGGUCAGUAAUCGGCACUCAGUUCUUUCUGCUGAAAAGAGAGCCAAAGAAGUAAAAGAUCUAGAUUUAGACAGUGAUGUCUUGCCUAUAGAGUGAGCUUUGGGCGUGCAGUGGUGCGUGGAGUCUGACUUGUUUAAGUUCAAGAUCACACUCAAAAAUCAUCCGCUGACGAGAAGAGGAAUCCUGUCAGUCAUCCGUUCAGUUUACAAUCCUCUGCCUCCUUCAGUGGCUAGAGAUUGGUUGGCCUGGCUGGAAGAUAUGCAUCUCCUUGAACACUGGGAGGUCAGUAGAUGCUUGAAACCUAUGAACUUUGGUGAUCUUGCUUCUGCGCAGCUGCACCACUUUGCGGAUGCAAGUGAGGAGGGUUUUGGAACCGUGACCUAUCUGUUACUCUGUGACAUCAGUGGCAGAGCUUACUGCACAUUUGUGAUGGGCAAGGCACAUGUGGCUCCACUCAAACCUGUUACCAUCCCUCGUAUGGAGUUGACAGCUGCGGUGGUGGCCAGCAGGAUGGACAAGCUGUGGAAAAGGGAACUGAAGGUCCAGGUGGCAAACAUUAAAAGUAAAGUGUCUCAGGACUAGCUGUCAGCGGAAGAGCAGUGACCACUAUGGACUCUAUUUCUUUUUGUGGUUUAGUAUGGUUUCUCUUCUGUCUCCUACAAGUAGUUGGUGGUGGUUAAUUAUUACUAGUUAAUAAUUAGGGGCCGGUAUGUAGGAGCCAUUCGUGGGUUUGCUAUUGGUUUCCUCACUAAUGUGCACGCGCUUUAACUCUGUGCACUACACUGCGGUGUCUGGGGGUGGCACGGUGGGUGUGGUGUGGCCUAUAUAUGAGCGCGCUCACCUGUUGAGUGUAAGGCCUUGGAUCAUGGUGGCGGGGUGAGCACGGGGAGCAACUUUCUGUUGACCGUAUUUUAACAGGAAAGAUUUGCGCAUAGAAGGAAUCGGUGCAUGGCUACGGACGGCAGCAGCUUUAAAAGUUUGUCCAAAUGAUGACCGCCAAGUGAGAAGAGCAUUGGCAUUUCUCUCCAUGUUGCUUGUCCUCUCGAGAUUGUCUUUUAAAUCAAAAAGGACCCCUAACAUUUACAAGUUUAGUAAUGUGCAAUUUAUCUUUUACAGCUAAUUUUAAGGUCUCUGUUUAGCAAACAACAGAAUAGGGAAACAAAUGGACCAAGUUUUAAGAGGGUUGAAGCCCUGUACUUCAGACCAAGAUUCUCCUGAAUUAUUUAGAGGAAAUAGCAACUGAAAAGACAGAGAAAGUCCCAGGCCACAGUUCCUACAGAACAGCUGGUCAUCCACCUCUUUGCAAUAUCAAUACAGAAUAUAGACUUUGUUGCACCAGUGGCAGUAGUGAUUAUUCUCAUCCUAAAUUGGGUUCUUGUACUCUUCUUGCAUGCACCCUUUCUGUGGCGGUCUCUUGUCACGAGGUGGUUCGGAGCCCGUCAGAACUAGUGGUCAGAUUGUGUACACUCUGCAGGUAUAUACAUUACUAUAUAGCUAUAUCUGUAAAAUACAUCUAACUAUUGAGUGUUGCAAGAGCAAAUAUGUUUUAGGGUGUUUGUGGGUGCUCAGUUGAAAGUGAGCACUGUUUGGACAGACCCAUAUCUGCACAGUGCUGUCUGUCAUUCCCUCUGUGGGAUGUUUUCUGGCUUCUUGUUGAGCGUUGGGUUUUGGAUGUUGCAGCACUAAUUGGAGGCAGUUAUGUGAAUUGUGUCAGGGUGUUUGUUGUGGAAACAAACCAGGACUGCAGUUAAUACUUUUGUUCUGCAAACAGAUAUCCUAAUAAUAUAAUAUUGAUGUACUGCUUUAUAACUGUGUUCUAAAUAUAUUAUCUAUUCAUGACAAACUUUGGUCACAAUAUAUAUCUUGAUAUAUUAGUGUAUUGUAAAGUUUGCCUGUUGUAGUAAAAUAAUACCUGUGAUCAGUUUUUCUUUUGUUUUGAAAUGUGCCAUAAUCCUCAGAAAUGUCUCAAUAUUCUGCAGGAACUGUAGUUAAUUUAAAUAUUAUAAAUAAAAUCCAGUAAAAUAUUAAUUUGCACUACGAGCUAAAUGGAUAUUAAAAUGGUUUUGUCCUAAAAUACUUUAUUGUUGCUGUUGAGGUAACUCUUCAUAUUUUUAUUUUUUGUGUCCAAGUUUUUUGUCAAGUGACUUUGUCUGCUUGCUGUUUAUUUCUCAUGAGAGCACAUACUGUUUAAUCUGUUCUACUGUCCAGGGGUGAUCUUUGGGCUAUGCAGUAGAAAUGGGGUUGCAGUGAAGUUCAGCAUUACAGAUAUUGGCCAUUAUAUUGUAAACCAAAUGUUGGCUAGUAGGGUCACCGUAUGGGAGGCUUUUCAGUCUUCAAAAUUUGAAAGUAAGUUAUUAAGGACUGUUAAGGCAGUCUGUAUUUUUUCCAUAUGCACCAAUAAAUUGACCGAGCUUUACUUCACCUACGUAUAUUUCUCCAUCAUGCUUAACCAAAAGUGCAUGUCUUCAGUACUCUGUUACAAGUGUUGCUUUGAAAUGAAUGAAAAUAAAUUAAAGUGUGCUGAAAA